CGACUACAUGAAGCUGGAAUCGCUAGUAAUCGCAGAUCAGAAUGCUGCGGUGAAUACGUUCCCGGGUCUUGUACACACCGCCCGUCACACCAUGGGAGUCGGAUAUGCCCGUAAGCCAGUGACCCAACCGUAAGGAGGGAGCUGUCGAAGGUGGAGCCGAUAACUGGGGUGAAGUCGUAACAAGGUACC
rnacentral:rRNA from 1 species